rnacentral:rRNA from 2 species
UAUACCGUGAAACUGCGAAUGGCUCAUUAAAUCAGUUAUCGUUUAUUUGAUAGUACCUUACUACUUGGAUAACCGUGGUAAUUCUAGAGCUAAUACAUGCUAAAAACCCCGACUUCGGGAGGGGUGUAUUUAUUAGAUAAAAAACCAAUGCCCUUCGGGGCUCUUUGGUGAUUCAUGAUAACUUAACGGAUCGCAUGGCCUUGCGCCGGCGACGGUUCAUUCAAAUUUCUGCCCUAUCAACUUUCGAUGGUAAGGUAUUGGCUUACCAUGGUUUCAACGGGUAACGGGGAAUUAGGGUUCGAUUCCGGAGAGGGAGCCUGAGAAACGGCUACCACAUCCAAGGAAGGCAGCAGGCGCGCAAAUUACCCAAUCCCGACUCGGGGAGGUAGUGACAAUAAAUACUGAUACAGGGCUCUUUUGGGUCUUGUAAUCGGAAUGAGUACAAUUUAAACCCCUUAACGAGGAACAAUUGGAGGGCAAGUCUGGUGCCAGCAGCCGCGGUAAUUCCAGCUCCAAUAGCGUAUAUUAAAGUUGUUGCAGUUAAAAAGCUCGUAGUUGAACCUUGGGCCUGGCUGGCCGGUCCGCCUCACCGCGUGUACUGGUCCGGCCGGGCCUUUCCUUCUGGAGAGCCGCAUGCCCUUCACUGGGUGUGUCGGGGAACCAGGACUUUUACUUUGAAAAAAUUAGAGUGUUCAAAGCAGGCCUUUGCUCGAAUACGUUAGCAUGGAAUAAUAGAAUAGGACGUGCGGUCCUAUUUUGUUGGUUUCUAGGACCGCCGUAAUGAUUAAUAGGGAUAGUCGGGGGCAUCAGUAUUCAAUUGUCAGAGGUGAAAUUCUUGGAUUUAUUGAAGACUAACUACUGCGAAAGCAUUUGCCAAGGAUGUUUUCAUUAAUCAGUGAACGAAAGUUAGGGGAUCGAAGACGAUCAGAUACCGUCGUAGUCUUAACCGUAAACUAUGCCGACUAGGGAUCGGGCGAUGUUUCUAUCUUGACUCGCUCGGCACCUUACGAGAAAUCAAAG